rnacentral:rRNA from 1 species
UGGGGAAUUUUCCGCAAUGGGCGAAAGCCUGACGGAGCAAUACCGCGUGAGGGAGGAAGGUCUUUGGAUUGUAAACCUCUUUUCUUAGGGAAGAAGAUCUGACGGUACCUAAGGAAUAAGCAUCGGCUAACUCCGUGCCAGCAGCCGCGGUAAUACGGAGGAUGCAAGCGUUAUCCGGAAUCAUUGGGCGUAAAGCGUCCGUAGGUGGUGAUACAAGUCUGCCGUCAAAGAGUGGGGCUUAACCCCAUAAAGGCGGUGGAAACUGUAUGACUAGAGUUCGGUAGGGGUAGCGGGAAUUCCCAGUGUAGCGGUGAAAUGCGUAGAUAUUGGGAAGAACAUCGGUGGCGAAAGCGCGCUACUGGGCCGAAACUGACACUGAGGGACGAAAGCUAGGGUAGCGAAAGGGAUUAGAUACCCCUGUAGU